ACUUAGCCAAAUAAAAUGAAAACAUAAAACCCCACCUUGGCUUUUCCCUUCUUCGCGCCACCCCCAACCCAGAGAAGAUUGCGCACCAUCACCACUCAUCACCCCCAAAUCAGAGAAGAUUCUGCGCCAUCACCACUCACUGUAACAUCCCUAAUUUCUAACCCUAAAUCCCAAAAUCCCCAAAAUUAACUCAGAAAAUCCUAAUUUCUCCAAUUCCUAACCCUAACAGCCGCAACCUCACCCUCCUUUAACGUAACAAACAAAAGCAGCCACUAUAGAGAGAAGAGGGAUCGGGAGAAGAAGAAGAGAGAGGAAAGGCCUGCCCAGCCGUCACCACCGCAGCGCCGCUGCAACUAUUGCCACCUUCAGAGCUACGGAAAGUCAUCCUCCCUACCGUUGAAUGCCGCCGUCGUGUCGCACAUGAGAGAGAGAGAGACAGAUUCGAGAGGAGCUACCCACGAUCGCUGCCGUCGAAGCCAGGCUCGUCGCCGUCACCACCCACGAAGCUGCGAGGAGCUGCUGUCGUGCUCGUGUCGCUGUUCGCCGUCCUUGUCGCUGGAGCCACGACUGUCACUAAGCUUCCGUCGCCGCUGCCGUUCAAGCCGUUGCUGCCGUCGAUUUGGAGUUGCUGCGAUUGGAGCCACAAGCGAGGGUGAGUUGCUACUGCCCUGUUGCCGUCCUAAUCAUAUUCAACGUCCGCUUCCCAGAGCUGUUUCUGCCCUUGAGUUCGUUGAGUUCGGAUUUCUUGUGCUACUGUAACUGUCAUUACUGCUAUGGGAACCAACGUUUCUAUUUAGCUGCUGCUGAAGGUCUUCCACCAUCACUGGAGCUGCCCAGAAUCAUCGUGGAAGCUACCAAGAUAUAUGGUUGAUUUCUAAUUAUGCCAAGACAUCAUCACUAAUUAAAUUUUAUGUUGAUUUUUUUUAAUUUUAUUUUAUGUCCUGGCUGCAUUAUAACUUGUGAAUCCCAUUUCCUUUUUAAUAUUCAAUGUUUUGACAAACUGCCAUGGUUUAUAAUCUAUUGAUACUUGCCUUUUUAAAUUAUAGGAGGGUUUAAAAGUCAGAGAAUUUCUAGGAAGCAACUUUUAGUGGAUUUAUUUUAAUCUAUAUAUUAAUGAUCGUGAUGUUUUUUUGUUUUGUUAAUGGAUAAUGAGGUUUUGGUGUUGAUGUUGUUGUGGUUCUGGUUUACUGUUAAUGAUGCUGUGAUUUUCAAUGGAGGUAUGGAGGGCUUGUAGUGUAGAACUGUGUCCCAUAUUGUGAAGGUUUGAAGGAUGGUAGUUAGGGUCUAUCAUAAGGGAGUGAUAUGAGCUUAUGAAUGAAUCUGGUUUGCCAUGUUACCAGGUUUAGUUAUUAAGUAAUUGAGCUGAGCUGUAAGUUUGACAAAUGAAAUGGUUUCCUGCUAGCGCCAAAAGGGCUAUUUCCGUCGGAGCCAAAAUAUUAUCGAGGACCAAAGCUGAAAGUUGCCAUCAUUGGAGCUGGGCUUGCUGGCAUGUCAACUGCAGUGGAACUCUUGGAUCAAGGACACAAGGUAGGUGUAGAUAACAAUCUACUCACAAUUUUGUAAACAAAGGGGGAGGUCAAAUUGGAGGUAGUGCAGAUAACAAUCUACUCACAAUUUUUUAAACAAAGGGGGAGGUCAAAUUGGAGAGAGUAAUAGCAGGGGAAUCGUCUAGUUCCAUUGAGAAGCAUUUAGUUUCUGUCGAGGCAAGAUUAGAAAUUUCACUUCCUUUCUUGACAAAGUUACAGUGGAAACAAAUGCUGUCAGCCUUGAUUAAAAUUGUUCUUCACACUUAUUUCAAGCUGGUUUCAUUUCUGGUUAUAAACUGAAUGGUAGAAAAAAAUUAUGUAGUUUCAUCUUUGUUUUCUUUGUGUCUGUUGUGCAGGUUGGCACUUCGCUAUUUCAAUUUAUUAAAGGUUCCUGGGCUUCAAAGAGGUCAGGGGAGAUUGCUCAGGAUUCGAAUUAUACAAAAGUGUUAAGGUUAUGCACAACUUGUUAUAGGUCCUGCUAGCAGUGGCAAGCAACCCUGCUCGGAAUGAACACUGAUACAAUUGUUAAGGCCAAGAGUUUUCUUGAUGGUGAUGAAGCUCAGCAUGAAAAAGAUGUGUUUGAGAAGAAUCUGGCGCUUCAGAACAUUUUUUAGUCAUUAUGCCAAGAUUAGAAGAUUAACGAUUUUCUGUUUGUUAAGCUCUUUUCGGAUAUAGAGUGCAAUCUUUGCAUUUUAAUUGAUAUGUGAUACAAGUUUCAUGUGACUUAAAUUAUCUUAAGUUAUAUUUUGAUUGUUAAUUGCUUCUUAAGAUUAUGUCUUUGAAUUGUGUAAGGAUGAUUUUUAUUAUUUAAAAAAAUUAUUUAGUA